GCCCCUGUAGUACAAAGGAUAGUGCGUUGGACUUCUAAUCCAAAGGUCGUGAGUUGGAAUCCCAUCUGGGAUG